GAAUAUCAAUUACACGAUGGUGAACUUUUCUUCUGGAAUGUUUUUGAGAGUGAGACCACAGGGCAAAACGAACUGAUCCAGCAUCUGUCACUGAACCUGAAGUUUCUACAAGACUGGAUGGCAAUGAGAUCCUGCUAUCUCCCUGUUUCUGCGUCUUAUGCUUGGGUUACAGGUAAAACCAAGAAAGAAACCGUCAAAUAGCUAUUUAAAAGUAUUUCUGCAGAUUUGCUUUACUGUUUAAAAAUACGAUAUUAAAAACUAGAAAAAAAUUAUGUGUACUAGUGUUCUGUUUGUAUGUACUACAUGCAUGCCUGGUGCCUGA